AUGACUGCGAGGUUGACAUGGCUUAAAGACAUGUACCAACAUGAACCACCAACCGAGAAGUCACCUGAGGAGUAUAAAAUUAAACAUGCUCGUAUUUAUAUCUUACUUCUUAUCGGGCAAGUUUUAUUUCCUAACAAAAGCGGUAAUACUAUACACUCAAAAUGGACACAAUUUGUUGUGGAUUUGGAAGAUUGUGGAAAAUUGAGUUGGAGUUCUGCCAUUUUAGCCAAUCUAUAUAGGGAAAUGUGCAAGUUUGUAGACAUAAAAGUAACAGAGAUGUCAGGAUGCGUUUUACUUCUUCAAGAUUGA